rnacentral:lncRNA from 1 species
CAUGAUCCUGUCAUCUCUAUGGCAAUGCUUAGUCCUAGAACAAGAAUACCUAAGUGGCCUGUGUAGAUUAGCAUUUGGAAACAGAAAAAAGAAACAAGAAAAAAAAAAAGGAAAAAGCUGGAGACAUAGGAAGAAGCACACAGCGAUAACCUACAGAAUGCAAACUACUUAAAGCUUCCUCCUCAUGAUUCCUAAGAUUCAAUAAUCGUCUGCCUCCAACUCAAAAGAGAACAUGGCCAAUCAAAUAUUUAUGAAACUAUGUUUUAUAAAGUUGAAUAUUUAAAGACUUAUAAUGUUGAAAGUAAAAGUAUCUGAAGAAAACAUGAGCCUAAAACACUGAAAGACAUCACCAACUUCCUAAUCUGAUGGGAUGUGCUAAGGACACGCCUCAAUAUGCUCCCAGAGAGAAGCAACAUGGGAAGUAUAAUUCUUCUGAUUCCAAUGUGAGGGAAUCUUUCAUAUAUCAAACACUGAAAGCAAACAAAAAUGUAAUUGAAAAGAGUGUAGUCUGAAAGGAGAAUAUCACCUCCCCUCAAGGACAUAGUAUAGAAACUUGGAACCCAGAUGAGAGCAUUCUAUGGAAGCUGGGAGUCAGGGCCUAGGGGAACUGAAGAUCACUGGCGCCAUUUUGGAUCCUGCCCCUCAUUUCUCAUUCUCCUUCCAGCUCCCCUGAGGGAGUCAGCUCUGAUCUUCCCUAACUUACUAACUCCAUGAUGCUCUCUGCCAUCUGAGCUCCAGAAACACCAGAAUCAACUGAAAAUGAAUUGAAAGUGUUGAACCCCUAAGCAAAAACAAAUCUUGAUAUUUUAAAGUUGGUUUCCUCAGGAAUGUUGUUAUAAUGACAGACACUAACACAGAUGUAAAAGAGCAAUCAAAAUUUAAUGCUUAAGUAAUUCGGUAAAGACGGGGCUGGAUAACAGGACAACAAAUUAAAAUAGCAGCAGGUGAAAAAGAGUAGGAUAAACUUGCGAACUUGGCGAACACUGUUUUAGCAGAAAAUGGUAUCAAUCUCAGUUCAGUUUGGAAAAUAUUCAGAAGUAAAAGGGCACUUUUGAAAUAAAAUUAUGUGAUAAGGUGUGGCCUUCCA